GACGAACGCUGGCGGCGUGCCUAACACAUGCAAGUCGAGCGGGAACCUCAGGAGGGGUAACCCUCCUGAGGGGAGAGCGGCGAACGGGUGAGUAACACGUGGGCAACCUGCCCCGGACACCGGGAUAACCCAGGGAAACCUGAGCUAAUACCGGAUACUCCGGCGAGAUCGCAUGGUCGCGCCGGGAAAGCUCCGACGGUCCGGGAUGGGCCCGCGGCCUAUCAGCUUGUUGGUGGGGUAACGGCCCACCAAGGCGACGACGGGUAGCUGGUCUGAGAGGACGGCCAGCCACACUGGGACUGAGACACGGCCCAGACGCCUACGGGAGGCAGCAGGGGGGGAUCUUGCGCUAAUGCGCGAAAGCGGGACGCAGCGACGCCGCGUGGGGGAUGAAGGCCCUCGGGUUGUAAACCCCUUUCGGCAGGGACGAAGCGAAAGUGACGGUACCUGCAGAAGAAGUCCCGGCUAACUACGUGCCAGCCGCCGCCGUAACAC
rnacentral:rRNA from 1 species